rnacentral:rRNA from 1 species
UCCAGACUCCUACGGGAGGCAGCAGUGAGGAAUAUUGGUCAAUGGGCGGAAGCCUGAACCAGCCAAGUCGCGUGAGGGAAGAAGGCCCUGCGGGUCGCAGACCUCUUUGGACGGGGAGCAAGGCCGCCGACGUGUCGGCGGAAGGAGAGUACCCGUAGAACAAGCAUCGGCUAACUCCGUGCCAGCAGCCGCGGUAAUACGGAGGAUGCGAGCGUUAUCCGGAUUUAUUGGGUUUAAAGGGAGCGUAGGUGGAUUGUUAAGUCAGUUGUGAAAGUUUGCGGCUCAACCGUAAAAUUGCAGUUGAAACUGGCAGUCUUGAGUACAGUAGAGGUGGGCGGAAUUCGUGGUGUAGCGGUGAAAUGCUUAGAUAUCACGAAGAACUCCGAUUGCGAAGGCAGCUCACCGGCGCCCUACUGACGCUCAGGCACGAAAGCGUGGGUAUCGAACAGGAUUAGAUACCCUAGUAC